GACGGAGGGGGCUAGCGUUGUUCGGAAUUACUGGGCGUAAAGGGCGCGUAGGCGGAUUAGUAAGUUGGAAGUGAAAGCCCGGGGCUUAACCUCGGAACUGCUUUCAAAACUGCUAGUCUUGAGUGAAGUAGGGGAUGAUGGAAUUCCUAGUGUAGAGGUGAAAUUCUUAGAUAUUAGGAGGAACACCGGUGGCGAAGGCGGUCAUCUGGACUUCAACUGACGCUGAGGCGCGAAAGCGUGGGGAGCAAACAGGAUUAGAUACCCUGGUAGUCCACGCCGUAAACGAUGAGUGCUAGAUAUCGGGAGAUUUUUCUUUCGGUUUCGUAGCUAACGCAUUAAGCACUCCGCCUGGGGAGUACGAUCGCAAGAUUA
rnacentral:rRNA from 1 species